rnacentral:rRNA from 1 species
AUGGGCGCAAGCCUGAUCCAGCCAUGCCGCGUGCAGGAUGACGGUCCUAUGGAUUGUAAACUGCUUUUGUACAGGAAGAAACACUCCCUCGUGAGGGAGCUUGACGGUACUGUAAGAAUAAGGAUCGGCUAACUCCGUGCCAGCAGCCGCGGUAAUACGGAGGAUCCAAGCGUUAUCCGGAAUCAUUGGGUUUAAAGGGUCCGUAGGCGGUUUAAUAAGUCAGUGGUGAAAGCCCAUCGCUCAACGGUGGAACGGCCAUUGAUACUGUUAAACUUGAAUUAUUAGGAAGUAACUAGAAUAUGUAGUGUAGCGGUGAAAUGCUUAGAGAUUACAUGGAAUACCAAUUGCGAAGGCAGGUUACUACUAAUGGAUUGACGCUGAUGGACGAAAGCGUGGGUAGCGAACAGGAUUAGAUACCCUGGUAGUCCACGCCGUAAACGAUGGAUACUAGCUGUUGGGAGCAAUCUCAGUGGCUAAGCGAAAGUGAUAAGUAUCCCACCUGGGGAGUACGUUCGCAAGAAUGAAACUC